rnacentral:sRNA from 1 species
AGGAGGUGGGAGGAUCGCUUGAACCCAGGAGGCGGGGGUUGCAGUGAGCCAAGAACAUACCACUGUACUCCAGCCUGAGUGGCAGAGCAAAACUCCGUUUCAAAAAAACAAAACAAAACAAAACUGUGGGCCUUGAUGUUCAAGUCGAUAAUUCCAGCCUCUGUGGAGCUGGUGUCCUCAGGGCUUGCCAUGUCCUUUUUUAUCAACUAUUCUGGCUUAAUUUUUGGCUUCUCCUGGUUGGCCAUUUCCAAAGACAAGUGUCUUUUCCCAAUGUUAUCAACCUUCUCAAUUCUGGGAAAGUUCUGGUAGUCUUUGAGCAGCGUACAAGGGGACAGGUCAUCAUCUUGGCUGGGCUGGACUGGUUUCUGGAUGGCAUAUCCACAGGUGGCCUGGAGGAAGAAACUUGGAGGAUACCAGCACCACUGGUUGGAAGGAAGCCUGGUGCUCCCUCCUUUUGGCUUCUCAAAAACUGGAGCUUGGGUCUCAGUGGAACUUAGCACCUUUCACACAGCCCUUGGCAUGGUGACUUCUGACCCCCAAGGGGCCAGGGCAGCUGUCCCUUUCACAGCACGGACUCAGUUACAUGAGUGCCACCACAUAUCUUCCUACUUGCUUUACUAGCUGUUGGAAAGGGGUAUUGAAAUCUCCAGCUAUAAAUAUGGAUUUGUCUAUCAGUUAUUUUGAGCACGUUUCUAGAUGUGCAGGUUGUAUAAUGAGAGCCUAUAAUUGAGGCAUAUAUUUUGCCUGAUUUAUGUAGUUGCUACUUACGAUUCAGUUGCUGUAGCCAAAGAAGAGGUGACUUUUAAUUUACCAUUCUUAUAGGCAAAGAAGUCAAUUUUUCCUUUCUAAGUACUUACUGAGAUAUCAUUUUGUUGUUCUGCAGUUGGCUGGUUUCUACCUCCUGUCCUAUUCUUAGAUCUGUAGUUCUGUGUUUUGAGAGGCAAAUAAAAUCCAAGAAAAUCUGUGAUGGUAAAGAUAAGCUGAAAGUUUCCAUCAUGAACUAAAGCCUGAUACCGAAGGAACUAUGUGUAAAAUUUGGAAACAUCUGGACAAAGCAUUCACUUUGGAGUUGUGUAUACUGGAGAAUACACACAGGCAGCAAGACACAUACUCAGAAAAGACCCAAGAUAUACCUUAACUAUACCCUGGGCUGAUCUCAAAUUUUCUAUCUUAAAUAUGGCUUUUUAAAACAUUUGGUGUUCUCUUGGUUGCAGCUGCUUUUCAGAGCUCCUAUAAAUUUAUUUCAGCCAGUCUAGUUGUUUUUUUGACGUUUCCAUGGGGAAAAUGAGAGCUUAGAUCUUAAUUCUCUACUUUGCUAAUGUCAGUCUCUUGGUCCUUUAUUCCUUAUUCUCUCUAUCCUUUCAGGAGACAGGAAUCAAAAUGAGAUGGCAACUCUUCACAAAGCAGGAUUAAGGUGCUUUUCACUGGGAGAGCUUUCAUGCUGGCAAAUCAAGAGACACAUUGUGAGCAAAUUAGCCAGAAGUCAAGACUCCAUGAUAAAUAUUGAAGGAAAGAGCUCUCAGUUCCCCAAGCACCAUGAUUCCCCCUGUCAAGUGGGAGCAGGAGAAUCUAUUCAAGCUUCUGUGGAUGACAACUGUCUAGUGAAUCACAUAGGGGAUCAUUCCAGUAUCAUUGAAAAUCAAGAAUUUCCAACUGGGAAAGUUCCAAAUUCUUGGAGUAAAAUAUAUCUGAAUGAGACACAGAAUUAUCAGAGAAGUUGUAAGCAGACUCAGAUGAAAAACAAAUUAUGUAUAUUCGCUCCAUAUGUUGACAUUUUCAGUUGUAUUUCACACCACCAUGAUGAUAAUAUAGUGCACAAAAGAGAUAAAGUUCAUAGCAAUAGUGAUUGUGGUAAAGAUACCCUAAAGGUAUCACCUCUUACCCAGCGUAGUAUUCACACAGGACAGAAAACCUACCAGGGUAAUGAAUGUGAAGAAGCCUUCAAUGAUAGCUCCAGUCUUGAACUUCAUAAGCAGGUACACUUGGGAAGGCAGUCUCCAGCGUGUAGUACACAUGAGAAGGACACCAGUUAUAGCUCAGGUAUUCCUGUUCAACAAAGCGUUCGUACUGGGAAAAAACGCUAUUGGUGUCAUGAAUGUGGUAAAGGUUUCAGUCAGAGCUCAAAUCUGCAAACUCAUCAGAGAGUCCACACAGGGGAGAAACCCUAUACAUGCCACGAGUGUGGUAAGAGCUUUAAUCAGAGCUCACAUCUUUAUGCUCAUUUGCCUAUUCACACAGGAGAGAAGCCCUAUAGAUGUGACAGUUGUGGGAAGGGCUUCAGUCGUAGCACAGAUCUUAACAUUCAUUGCAGAGUUCACACUGGAGAGAAACCUUAUAAAUGUGAGGUGUGUGGGAAGGGCUUCACUCAGAGAUCACAUCUCCAGGCCCAUGAAAGAAUUCACACUGGAGAGAAACCAUAUAAAUGUGGGGAUUGUGGUAAACGCUUUAGUUGUAGCUCAAAUCUUCAUACCCAUCAGCGAGUCCACACUGAAGAAAAACCAUACAAAUGUGAUGAGUGUGGUAAGUGCUUUAGUUUGAGCUUUAAUCUUCAUAGUCAUCAACGAGUCCACACAGGAGAAAAACCAUAUAAAUGUGAAGAGUGUGGUAAGGGUUUUAGUUCAGCCUCAAGUUUCCAGAGCCAUCAGAGGGUCCAUACAGGAGAGAAACCAUUUCGAUGCAACGUGUGUGGGAAAGGCUUCAGUCAGAGUUCAUACUUUCAAGCACAUCAGAGAGUCCACACUGGAGAAAAACCAUACAAAUGUGAAGUGUGUGGGAAGCGCUUCAAUUGGAGCUUGAAUCUUCACAAUCAUCAGAGAGUCCACACCGGAGAGAAACCCUACAAAUGUGAAGAGUGUGGUAAGGGUUUCAGUCAGGCCUCAAAUCUUCAAGCCCAUCAGAGCGUCCACACUGGGGAAAAACCAUUCAAGUGCGAUGCAUGUCAGAAGCGAUUCAGUCAGGCCUCACACCUUCAAGCCCAUCAGAGAGUCCACACCGGAGAGAAACCAUAUAAAUGUGACACUUGUGGUAAGGCCUUCAGCCAGAGGUCAAAUCUUCAAGUCCAUCAGAUAAUUCACACUGGAGAGAAACCAUUUAAAUGUGAGGAAUGUGGGAAAGAAUUCAGUUGGAGUGCUGGUCUCAGUGCCCAUCAGAGGGUCCACACGGGAGAGAAACCCUAUACGUGUCAGCAGUGUGGGAAGGGCUUCAGUCAGGCCUCACAUUUUCACACACACCAGAGAGUCCACACUGGAGAGAGGCCUUACAUAUGUGAUGUCUGUUGUAAGGGCUUCAGUCAGAGGUCACAUCUCGUCUACCAUCAGAGAGUCCACACUGGAGGGAAUCUGUAGAAAUGAGAGGUGUGGUUCAGCCUUCAGUUAGAGCUCACAUCUUUGUCUCCGCUGGGAAGUCCAUGCUGAUGAUUGUGAAAAGUUCCUUUAAAACUAGAAGCUUCAAAGAAUCUUGACAGGAAAGAAGUCUCUCAAAUGCUGUGUUUUAGACUUGGUUAGGACAUGAAUUCUUUACAAACAUCAUAUUUCACAGAUGCGAGAAAACUUUGUUCUGUAAAUAUGAUCAGUGUUUAUAUCAGAGUACCAUGUGUCCCAGUUCUCAAGAUGUAACACAGCAGAAAAGUCUUGUCGGCGUCUGCCCAGGAGAGAGGCCUUCCUUUAACAAAAGUAUGAUUGACAGAAAAAAUGGAUGUCAACUAAAAUGUAACCUCUAUGUAAGGAGGUGUUUUUCACCACUCUAUCUCUACCAUGUAGAAUUGUGCUUGGCUCAUAAUAGGGCCCAGCAAUUUACUGAAGAAAGUGAAGAAAAUACCUAUAAUUAGGACAAAUACUUGAAAAUUCUAGUCUGUUUUCUACUCUAAAUUUAUAUUAAUUUAUAUUCAAAAGGAAUCCUGCAAGUAGCCUUAAUAACGUUAGUUUCAGUAAGUACUGAAAAGUAUAUAAUACUGCCAUCCAUACUAACACAAAUUUGGAAAAAAGACAUGAAUGGCUCCCAUCCUUCAGCCUUAGUUCUUUGUACAGUGUAUCAUCAGUUGUGUACAGUAUGAUUUUUAGUGCCAUUAGUUUAUAGACUGAACAAUACUGUUUUUAUCUAAUGUGACCCUGCAAUUUACAUGAUUGGAAUUUUUGGACACUAAGCUGUACUGUAACUCUGAAAGUGUUAAAAGUAGUUACUGAUGACAAAAAGUUUCUUAGUAAACUUGAAUUGUUAAUA